AUCCUUUUGUAGUUCAUGAGUGUAAUGAUUGAGUGUUCAUGCACAUGUGUGAGAUAUGCCACCCUUGAACCUUGUUACACCGUUGUCAUGUUGCCCGUUUGACA
ensembl:snoRNA